GUCAAAGAAUCUCGACGAGGAGGUGGCGAAUUACCUCCUGUUUGUUGGGUCGAUUGACCGAACACUUGGUGUGCAGGUGGCCGCCAGAUCUCAAGAAGGCGAUGGAUGUCGCAUCAGGAGGCUGCAAUGGCAAGUGGCGCUGGGGUUGGGUCUGGUCCGGGAGUAGCGCCGCCCGAGGUCGGGGUGGGAGGUGAGGUCGCCUCACCGUCGGGGCCUCCGCUUCCCCACGUCCUCUUUCCCGAGGAGGAGCACAUCGUCGGCAGCAACCACGCUGAAAGCACGGUACACACUACACAAGCGCUUCCGCGGCCGAGCUCGCACGCCCCACAUCGGCACCUCGGCCACUUGCUCCCCUCGCGCUGUGUGGGGGCGUUCUCAUGGAUGCUCAAGAAAGAAAGAGACCAGCGAUAACGCGAGCGCGGCCGCCAGCAUGGGCAGCUCCAUGAGGAACGCCGGCGGCGCCCGCGUGUUCUCGUGGAUGGCCAGGCUCAGCCGUCCGCGGCGGCGCCCGAAGGGCGUCACCGCCGGCGCGUGGUCCGCGAGGAGGGCCCUGCUGCGGCUGUGCCGCCCGAGCAGCGCGGCCAUCUUGCAGUACAUCUUGAAGAGCCCCACGACGGCGGCGCCGAUGCUGCCGUGCUUGGUCCGGUGCCCCAGGCGUGCAGGCCGGCCGCCUUAUCGGCCUCCGUCGCGACGCCUCGGCCCAUUCCCCAUUCCUGGCCGCGGGCGGGAUGUUGGAGAUGCGGUCGCUGGCGCUCACGUCCACCUGGAGAGGCCGAGAGGGCCGAAGGCGGGGGGAUUCCGAGACGGCCGUCGUCCAACGAGGCGGGCACCUUCCCCACCGACGAGCUCGCCGACGAGAACCCAACCGAAGCUGCCCCCCUUCCACCUUCUCUGCCACCGGAUAGGAUGAAGAAAGGAGUGCGGGCGUAAUUCUAAAACAUGUAGGGUUUAAUUUGUAAAAUCGAAGCGUUUUCUCAGAUCCACUUAAACAGGGAGUGCGGGUUGAUU
rnacentral:rRNA from 1 species